rnacentral:rRNA from 1 species
UACGGGAGGCAGCAGUGGGGAAUAUUGCACAAUGGGCGAAAGCCUGAUGCAGCUAUGCCGCGUGUAUGAAGAAGGCCUUAGGGUUGUAAAGUACUUUCAUCGGGGAGGAAAAAACAAAACUAAUAAUUUUAUUUCUUGACGUUACCCGAAAAAGAAGCACCGGCUAACUCCGUGCCAGCAGCCGCGGUAAUACGGAGGGUGCUAGCGUUAAUCAGAAUUACUGGGCGUAAAGAGCACGUAGGUGGUUUUUUUAAGUCAGAUGUGAAUCCCUGGGCUUAACCUAGGAACUGCAUUUUGAAACUGAAAUACUAGAGUAUCGUAGAAGGAGGUAGAAUUCUAGGUGUAGCGGUGAAAUGCGUAGAUAUCUGGAGGAAUACCUGUGGCGAAAGCGGCCUCCUAAACGAAUACUGACACUGAGGUGCGAAAGCGUGGGGAGCAAACAGGGAUUAGAUACC